UACGUAGGGGGCAAGCGUUGUCCGGAUUUAUUGGGCGUAAAGAGCGUGUAGGCGGCCAUACAGGUCAGCUGUGAAAACUCGAGGCUCAACCUCGAGACGUCGGUUGAAACCGUAUGGCUAGAGUCCGGAAGAGGAGAGUGGAAUUCCCGGUGUAGCGGUGAAAUGCGCAGAUAUCGGGAAGAACACCCGUGGCGAAGGCGGCGAUCUGGGUCGAUACUGACGCUGAGGUGACGAAAG
rnacentral:rRNA from 1 species